rnacentral:rRNA from 1 species
CAGUCGCCGCGGUAAAACGGAGGGGGCUAGCGUUGUUCGGAAUUACUGGGCGUAAAGCGCACGUAGGCGGCUUGGUAAGUUAGAGGUGAAAGCCUGGAGCUCAACUCCAGAAUUGCCUUUAAGACUGCCGAGCUAGCAGGUGAUAGAGGUAUGUGGAACUCCGAGUGUAGAGGUGAAAUUCGUAGAUAUUCGGAAGAACACCAGUGGCGAAGGCGACAUACUGGAUCAUUACUGACGCUGAGGCUCGAAAGCGUGGGGAGCAAACAGGAUUAGAUACCCGGGUAGUCCCUGUCUCUUAUAC